GAUGCCGCUUUAUUUUCUUAUUUUCAGAAAUUUAUUCACAUAACACAUCCAGCUGCUUUGUUCUUUUCUUUCUUUUUCAUUUCACUUCAUCCCCUUUCUGGCUAUAUUUUCUUUUAGCCUAUGUCCUUAUCACUCAUUGCUUCUGCACGCUCUCAGAUAAUUGCAUAAAUAAUGUGCAUCACGUUAAUCCUCAACUUGCCUCUUGCUUCUCUUGUUCUCUGCCCCCUUUCUCUCUCAGGUUGGGAAGAUAUUUCUCAACCUUGUCACCUCUCCUUCCCCCCCGUCUCUCUUCCUGUUGCUGUGCCUCGGGUUAAGCUCUUUCUAUCUGUCUGUCUCCUCCUUUCUCUCUAAUUACACUGUUCUCAGCUCCAACUCUGUGCCUUCCCAUGGGUUUGUAUGUCACUAAGUAAAGACUAACUGAAUGCCCUUUUUGUGUUUUGCAAUGUGGGAAAGUUUGCCUUAUUUAUUUUGUACAUAUUAAUGAACCUGUGUGUUUGCAUGUUAGUUGUGCGUGUGUCUGCCAUAUUGUCCUCCAUUUUUAAAAUAAAAUGGUAAAUGAUUGAUAUUUCUUCAUCUUUCUAUUGCUAACAAUUAGGCUGGAAAAAAAGCAUAUCGACUGCUUCUGAAUGUAUGCAUUAUACUCAAAUGUCUACACAUUGACCGAAUUUUAGAGCCUGUUCCGGAGGAGCGAAGAUGUAAAAAACAAGCCUGCAUAAAAAGGGAGAGAGAAGAUGCCGAUAGAGAGGAGAAUGUCUUGAUAGGGAAAGAAAAACAGAAGAAAAGAUGAAAGGACAUUUUUUUGUCUGUUUGUAUGUUUGAAGAUUUAGCAUCAUCCUGUGGUGUCAAUGUUAAAUUGUACAGCUGUGCAGAAGUGGUUAAAUGGGUCUCACAUGGUUUUGCAUGUUCUGUAUAGUAAAGCACGGCUUUGCAUUUGUAAGCUUGUAAAAUUAAGAAAAUUAAUUCUUUUUUUUUUUUCUUUUUUGUGUAUAAUCUAACCGAUGAAACUCAAUACAAAGGCUCUGUCUCUGUUUAUACAAGACAAGCCAUUUACUUAAGAUUCCAUAAAUUCAAGAAGCUAAGGUCAGAGCAUAACAUCAUAAGCUUGGAUUGCAUCUAUUAUAAUGGAGGUUGUCUAACGUCGGUCGCUGGGGAGCAAAAACAGCAUUAAGGACAUGCACUCAUGCAAUAUGCAUAGCUCAGAGGAGAAAUAUGCCUAAACUCAGGCUCUUGUAACAAUAAAAAUGUGAAGAAUUUAACUUUUAUCAUUGCAGCAUGGAUUAUUAAUGAACUUUGUAUUGCUCUGUGAAAAAUCUAUGUAAUAUAAAGGUGUACAAAGAGAUUUCUUUCCUGCUCAGAGGACUUGUGAAAACAUAGCUCAUGAUAGCAACUGCAAAUGUCACAUGAGGACAGAGCAGGGAAAUUCUGGAUGCUAUAUGAAGAGAGGAAAAGCAUCGCUCAGAGUUCUUGACAUGGACGUUUCGUAAAUAGAUGGACAAUUAUUCA